rnacentral:rRNA from 1 species
GACGAACGCUGGCGGCGUGCUUAACACAUGCAAGUCGAACGGAAAGGCCCUGCUUUUGUGGGGUGCUCGAGUGGCGAACGGGUGAGUAACACGUGAGUAACCUGCCCUUGACUUUGGGAUAACUUCAGGAAACUGGGGCUAAUACCGGAUAGGAGCUCCUGCUGCAUGGUGGGGGUUGGAAAGUUUCGGCGGUUGGGGAUGGACUCGCGGCUUAUCCGCUUGUUGGUGGGGUAGUGGCUUACCAAGGCUUUGACGGGUAGCCGGCCUGAGAGGGUGACCGGCCACAUGGGGACUGAGAGACGGCCCAGAAUCCUACGGGAGGCAGCAGUGGGGAAUAUUGCACAAUGGGCGGAAGCCUGAUGCAGCAACGCCGCGUGCGGGAUGACGGCCUUCGGGGUGUAAACCGCUUUCGCCUGUGACGUAGAGUGAGUGACGGUAAUGGGUAAAGAAGCACCGGCUAACUACGUG